rnacentral:rRNA from 1 species
GACGAACGCUGGCGGCGUGCUUAACACAUGCAAGUCGAACGGAACGGCCCUGCUUUUGUGGGCUGCUCUAGUUGCGAACUGGUGAGUUACCCUUGGGUUACCUACCCUUGCCUUUGGGAUAUCUUCAUGAAACUUGGUCUCAUCCCGCCUAUGAUCUCCUGCUUCUUGAUGGGGGUGCGUUAGUUUCGGUGGUUGGUGAUGGACUCGCGUCUUAUCAGAUUGAUGGUUGGGUAGUGGCUUACCAAGGCUUUGCCGGGUAGCAGGCCUGCGAGGGUGACCGGACAAAUUGGGACUGAGAUACGGCCCAGACUCAUACGGGAGGCAGGAGAGGGGAAGAUUGCACAAUGGGCGGAAGGAUGAUGCAGCAAAGCCGCGUGCGGGAUGAGGGCAUUGGGGUUGUAAACCGAUUUCGCCUGUGACGAAGCGUGAGUGACGGUAAUGGGUAAAGAAGCACCGGCUAACUACGUG